rnacentral:tRNA from 1 species
GGUCGAUUAACUCAGUUGGUAGAGUGCUACCUCGACAUGGUAGAAGCCGUGGGUUCAAGUCCCGCAUCGACUACCA